rnacentral:tRNA from 1 species
AACGAGUUAGUAUAAUAAAUACCUUUAAUUUAGGCUUAAAAAAAGAAAUAUAAUCUCUACCCGUUA